AAAGUCUUUGUCGUACAACUUGCACCCAAAAGUAGAAUUGCAGAGAAAGAAACGGGGGAGAGGAAAAAAUUGAUUUUUUUUAUUUUUAUUUUUUUUUUUGAAAGAGGAGAAAAUUGAUUGUUACAAAGUCAACGUGGUUGUUUCCUAAAUACUUAUUUUUAUUUUUGGUGCAAUUGUUGGAGAGUUGAAAAAUCUGGUAUGGGGAUUGAGAUUGAGAAGAGAAACCCUCAUUCUUCUUCUUCAUCAACAUCUCCUUGCGCCCAGCUCAGAGACGCUUAUCACAAUUGUUUCAACAGGUGGUAUUCAGAGAAGUUCUUGAAGGGUCAUUGGGACAAAGAGGAGUGCAUCUCUGAGUGGCAGAAAUACAGAGAUUGUCUCUCACAACAUUUGGACGAUAAGCAUCUGAGUCGCUUCUUAGAAGCCGAAGGCAUAAUUGACCAGACCAAUCAAGCUGAUUUUAGAAGUCCCAUUGGGGUCUCUAAAUAAUAUCUGUUCCAUCUGAUCUUCUUACGGGAGCGAAGAUUGGUCUUGGUGGAGUAAGAGGUGGUCUGUACUACUUGGAUAUGAACUGGGCUUCAAAUGGAAAAGCAAAUCAAAUAGUUGGCAUAUUACAAGCUAUUUUGGCAAUGGCGCGUGUUUGUGGGCUGGCUACCUUUUGCUGCUAUUGUGUGCUUACUCACUUCAAUCCACUCUACUUGACAGUUAUUAGGUAGCAAAGAAUCUCUGUUUGCUUAAGUUGUGAUACUAGAGUCCAAUCUUUUUUUUUGGACGAGUGAUACUAGAGUCUAAUCUUAAAACCAGUGUUGUUGGGGACGAACAGCUAACAACUUCUAUUGUGGAUAUGGAGGCAGGAGAGAAAAACCGAAAGCCCAUAAGAAUGGGAUUAGAUUAUGUAUGAUGGUUUCAAUUACUCUAAAAUAGGGUUUUUCUUCAAUUGCUCCUUUGCAUUGUACUUGAAUAUAAAUUUAUUAUGGAGAGGGUAUAUGCCCAUGUCCAGUUUUUA